rnacentral:rRNA from 1 species
AGAGAAUAGGCCCAAGCGACUGUUUACCAAAAACAUAGGUUUCUGCUAAGUCGCAAGACGAUGUAUAGGAGCUGACGCCUGCCCGGUGCUGGAAGGUUAAGGGGAUCUGUUAGAGCAAUCGAAGCAGUGAACUUAAGCCCCAGUAAACGGCGGCCGUAACUAUAACGGUCCUAAGGUAGCGAAAUUCCUUGUCGGGUAAGUUCCGACCCGCACGAAAGGCGUAACGAUUUGGGCACUGUCUCAACAACAGACUCGGUGAAAUUGUAAUUCCGGUGAAGAUGCCGGAUACCUGCGACAGGACGGAAAGACCCCAUGGAGCUUUACUGUAGCUUGACAUUGGGUCUUGGUACUACAUGUACAGGAUAGGUGGGAGGCUUUGAAACCAGGACGACAGUUUUGGCGGAGCCAUCCUUGGGAUACCACCCUUGUAGUACUGGGACUCUAACCAUAGGCCAUGAAUCUGGUCUUGGGACACUGUCAGGUGGGCAGUUUGACUGGGGCGGUCGCCUCCCAAAAGGUAACGGAGGCGCUCAAAGGUUCUCUCAGUACGGUCGGAAAUCGUACGUAGAGUGUAAAGGCAAAAGAGAGCUUGAUUGCAAGACAUACAGGUCGAGCAAGGAUGAAAAUCGGACUUAGUGAUCCGGUGGUUCUGCGUGGAAGGGCCAUCGCUCAACGGAUAAAAGCUACCCUGGGGAUAACAGGCUUAUCUCCCCCAAGAGUCCACAUCGACGGGGAGGUUUGGCACCUCGAUGUCGGCUCAUCACAUCCUGGGGCUGUAGUAGGUCCCAAGGGUUGGGCUGUUCGCCCAUUAAAGUGGUACGCGAGCUGGGUUCAGAACGUCGUGAGACAGUUCGGUCCCUAUCCGUCGCAGGCGUAGGAAAUUUGAGAAGACCUGUCCUUAGUACGAGAGGACCGGGAUGGACGUACCUCUGGUGUACCAGUU